rnacentral:rRNA from 1 species
AUGUUGAAUGCUAACGGAAAUUUCUCGGUGAAAUCCCUAUAUCUGCACCUUGUCAAAACUGAUCUUGGCUUUCCACACAAAUUUCUGUGGAAAGCUAUGGUACGUGCAAAAAUCAAAUUCUUUCUCUGGCUAAUGACUAGAAAAAGCAUUCUGACCAGAGACAACCUGCUUAAAAGAGGAUGGAAAGGGGACAAACAUUGUGUGUUUUGUGGAAAAGAGGAAAACAUUGACCACCUUUUCUUCUCUUGA